rnacentral:rRNA from 1 species
CCUACGGGAGGCUGCAGUGGGGAAUAUUGCGCAAUGGGCGAAAGCCUGACGCAGCGACGCCGCGUGAGGGAUGAAGGUCUUCGGAUCGUAAACCUCUGUCAGCAGGGAAGAACGGUCACUGUGCUAAUCAGCAGUGAAUUGAAGGUACCUGCAAAGGAAGCACCGGCUAACUCCGUGCCAGCAGCCGCGGUAAUACGGAGGGGGCGAGCGUUAAUCGGAAUUACAGGGCGUAAAGCGCUUGUAGGCGGUAUGUCAAGUCAAGUGGGAAAUCCCCGCGCUCAACGUGGGAACUGCCUUUGAAACUGGCAUCCUUGAGUGUGUGAGAGGAUAGGGGAAUUCCAGGUGUAGGAGUGAAAUCCGUAGAUAUCUGGAGGAACAUCAGUGGCGAAGGCGACUAUCUGGCACAUAACUGACGCUGAGGAGCGAAAGCGUGGGGAGCAAACAGGAUUAGAUACCCCAGUAGUC